rnacentral:piRNA from 1 species
AUUUAGGGUAGUGAUUAUGUC